rnacentral:rRNA from 1 species
UGGGGAAUCUUCCGCAAUGGACGAAAGUCUGACGGAGCAACGCCGCGUGAGUGAAGAAGGUUUUCGGAUCGUAAAACUCUGUCUUUUGGGGCGAACGUGAGUAUGGUGAACAAUCAUAGUCAGUGACGGUACCAAAGGAGGAAGCCACGGCUAACUACGUGCCAGCAGCCGCGGUAAUACGUAGGUGGCAAGCGUUGUCCGGAAUUAUUGGGCGUAAAGAGCGCGUAGGCGGGAUAGUCAGUCUGUUGUAAAGUGCGGGGCUCAACCCCGUGAUCGCAAUGGAACAGCUAUUCUUGAGUGCAGGAGAGGAAAGUGGAAUUCCCAGUGUAGCGGUGAAUGCGUAGAUAUUGGGAGGAACACCAGUGGCGAAGGCGACUUUCUGGACUGUGUCUGACGCUGAGGCGCGAAAGCCAGGGGAGCGAACGGAUUAGAUACCCCGGUNGUCCUGGCCGUAAACGAUGGGUACUAGGUGUGGGAGGUAUCGACCCCUUCCGUGCCGGAGUUAACGCAAUAAGUACCCCG